UCGGCAACGGAUAUCUCGGCUCUUGCAUCGAUGAAGAACGUAGCGAAAUGCGAUACUUGGUGUGAAUUGCAGAAUCCCGUGAACCAUCGAGUCUUUGAACGCAAGUUGCGCCUAAUGCCACUAGGCUGAAGGCACGUCUGCCUGGGCGUCAC
rnacentral:rRNA from 1 species